GACGAACGCUGGCGGCGUGCCUAAUACAUGCAAGUAGAACGCUGAAGGAGGAGCUUGCUUCUCUGGAUGAGUUGCGCACGGGUGAGUAACGCGUAGGUAACCUUCCUGGUAGCGGGGGAUAACUAUUGGAAACGAUAGCUAAUACCUCAUAACAGUAGAUAUCGCAUGAUAUCUACUUGAAAGGUGCAAUUUCAUCACUACUAGAUGGACCUGCGUUGUAUUAGCUAGUUGGUGAGGUCACGGCUCAACACGGCGACGAUACAUAGCCGACCUGAGAAGGUGAUCGGGCAAACUGGGAAUGGAGAAAGGGUCAAGACUCUAAGGGGAGGAAGAAUAGGGGAAUUUUGGCAAAAGGGCGAAAGCUGGACGAAGAAAGGCGGGGGGGGGGAGGAAGGUUUUCGGACGUAAAAAUCUGUUGAAAAGGGAGGAAGAGAGGUAGAGUGAAAAGUGCACACUGUGACGGUACCUAAACAGAAAGGGACGGCUAACUACGUG
rnacentral:rRNA from 1 species